GAAAUAAACAGCAAGGUUGAAGGCAGCUGAGCUGCAGGUUCUGACUACGGCUGAAGCAUGCUUGCCAUGAGAUUGCUGCUAUUGGUUAGUAUGUGUGUCACCAAUUCUCUGAGUCAGAACGCAGACCAGAAACACACAGAUGAAUCUAAACCACAUGCUGAGUCGAUUCCAGACCACACAGAUGCCGGGAAAAGGGAGACUCUUGUGUCUCUGCAGCAAAUGUAUAAUCACGCUGAUAACAACAAGCUUGCCAUAUUCAUUGCUGCUGCUGUGGGCACAGUGACUCUAAUGGGUGUGAUCUACUGCAUCUACAACCAAUUCUACACCAAACAGCCUUACCUGCAUGCACAUCUCGAAGAGGACGCAGACGUAUCCCUGGACUUAAGAGAUCCGUUCUCCUCCUCCCUCUCCCCUGGCUCCGGUGGCCGUAACGAGAGAGCGGUGGACAGAUGGGGUUAUGGCUCGCUCUCCGAGACGCCGUCGAUAAUCACCCUGCCUCCAACUCUCUCCCCUCCUCCGCCCACCUCGCCCUUUCCUGCCCUCUCCUUGUUUCCCCCGUCUCCUCUGAGGACCAUCUCAGCCCAGGACCUGGAGAAAAGUUUCCUCUGACGGUUCCUUGGCUCAGAGGAACUGCGUGUCUCACACUUUUUAAUGCGACAUUGUAAACCAUGUAAUUUCUGGAUGUAGUUUGAUAUUUUACACUCCUAAUCACCGAUUCCAUGUAGUUAUAAGCAGUAAUGACAUUGUAACAGGCGUGAUUGUAUCACUUUUCUUUCAUCUACUGUAACCAUUUCAUAACUUGAAAUUGUAACACGACAGUAAUGACAAUAACAAUAAAAGAAUAAUUGUAUGCA
ensembl:lncRNA uncharacterized LOC114784210